CCUCCUCCUACCCCAAUGUCUCUUCUGAAAUGGGGACAGCAGAAUGCGACAGUCACUGGUCAGGUCUCAAAUGCCAUAGGUGAAGGAAAUGCCAUCUUCCUUCCCACACUGUCUUGUUUCGUGGACCCGAGGGCUGGUGGUGGGAAUCCUACCGUUGGCUGUGACUCCAAGCACGUCUUGGGAUUUGAGGCUCUCUGGGAGAAAUGAGAAACUCAAUAGAGACUAAAAUUCCAUAUAGGAGAUGUUGGUGAAAUGCUACUUCUCCACACCAUUCCAGUGGAAGUUAUGAGUGAAGCUUAACUGUUGCCAUUGCAUGUGUGACAAAGGGGAUGAGUUGUUUGUCCAUGGGACUCAGUCAACCAGUGCAGAACCAGAAAGUUACCCACAAUGACAUCAAGACAUCGUUCACCUCUUCCAGCUGAGGAGUCUCUUGUUCUCAUCACUAAUCACGGUGGACUGUUUCCCGUGUUAUCUGAGGGACAGACCAUUGCCUGCUCCAUCCCUGAUGACAAAGGGGCACAGAUCUCCUGGCCAUGUCUUUGCUCUGGACAAGUGAGGUCAAUGGGAUUGCAUCCUGCCUCUGAUCAGCUCCAAAGGGUGACAGAUCAGAGGGAGCUCCCAUCUCCUUGCACUGUCUUCAUCUGUCUCCUAUGCUCCUGCCUGGUCUUGCUCCAUCAAGACUUGCCUCCUCAGAGCAGCCAGUAUUCCAAGGCAGAUACUUCUCAGAAUUGAUUUAACCGAGUGACUUUCAACUGUUUCCAUUCUGGAAGGUCAGACGGUAAAAUAAAAAUAAAUUAUUGAAAAGAGAAAAAAAAAAGCAAAAAAAGCAAAAAAAAAAAAGAAAGAAGGAAAGAAACGAAAUGAAAACUUUUGGGAAUAUUUUCUCAUCGUCGUUAUGAAAUCCUGUUUCCAUUUACCGCUGAAGAAAACUGAAGUUGGCUGGAAAAUAUUUGGGUCUUUUCUUUGCCGUUGUAUCAUCUCAGCGUUGGGGUUUUUUUUGUUUGUUUGUUUGUUAAAAAUCUGUCAAAACUUGAGAGGAAAACUCUCGUUCUCCUGACAGUAAUUAGUCUGUUUUUCCCACCAGCAGAGACAACACAGCCCCGCAGGCUGUUCCAUCUAAUUAGACAACCCACUUUUUUUGGACCCAAUUAACAUAUUUAAUGGGAAAUGUGACCAACUUAACAUUCCUCCC
ensembl:lncRNA